GGAGAUGUAGCUUAGUGGUAGAGUGCUUGCUUAGCAUGCACAAGGCCCUGGGUUCAAUCCCCAGCACUGCAA
rfam:Heterocephalus glaber contig217968, whole genome shotgun sequence.